UACGUAGGGGGCUAGCGUUGUCCGGAAUCAUUGGGCGUAAAGCGCGCGUAGGCGGCCCGGUAAGUCCGCUGUGAAAGUCAAAGGCUCAACCUUUGAAUGUCAGCGGAUACUGCCGGGCUAGAGUGCGGAAGAGGCGAGUGGAAUUCCUGGUGUAGCGGUGAAAUGCGCAGAUAUCAGGAGGAACACCGGUGGCGAAGGCGGGUCUCUGGGCCGUAACUGACGCUGAGGAGCGAAAGCAUGGGGAGCGAACAGG
rnacentral:rRNA from 1 species